GUUUCCAUAGUAUAGUGGUUAGUACGCUGCUUUGUGGUUAUCUAAUCACUGUCUCGCAGCAGAGACGCGUGUUCGAUUCACGCUGGGAACA
rfam:Cryptococcus amylolentus CBS 6039 supercont1.7, whole genome shotgun sequence.